GCCCAGAUGGUGAAAUUGGUAGACACACUACUUUGAGGGGGUAGCGCUCGCAAGAGUGUGCAAGUUCGAAUCUUGUUCUGGGCAC
rnacentral:tRNA from 1 species